ACUGGUCCAGACGUAGUCCACCACUCUUCAGUGUUGAACCUGGACCUUCAGACUCAAAACUCACAGCAGAGUCUUCAGGAUCCAGCAGGUUGUCUCUGAAGAGUGACUGGUCCAGACGUAGUCCACCAUACUUCAGUGCUGAACCUGGACCUUCAGACUCAAAACACACAGCAGAGUCUUCAGGAUCCAGCAGGUUGUCUCUGAAGAGUGACUGGUCCAGACUUGAACCACCGUUCUUCAGUGCUGAACCUGGACCUUCAGACUCAAAAGAGAAGAAGAGGACUGAUGUGUGUGAGGAGCAGCCAGAAAGAUCCAGAAGUGCCGCUG